rnacentral:lncRNA from 1 species
UCUAUUAUUAAAAUUAAUCUAUCUCAUUGUCGUAAUUAGGGCUGAGCAUUCGGUUAUAACCGAACUGAAUAGGCUAUUCGAUUAUAACCGAAAACCGAAAUUAUUGUAUUUUUGAUAUCCGAACAACUAACCGAAUCGUACACUAACUGAAUAACCGAACAACUGAAUAUCCGAAUUUACUAUUCGGUUAAUAACCGAAAUUAAGGAAUAUUACAAAGAUGUAAAGUGAAUAUGAUGAAAUUAGUUUAACAUUGGGUUUAUCACUGAAAGUCUAAAUCCCAAAUGAAGAGAAUUUAUUUACAUCUGGAAGACAGAAGGAAAUGAACCUUAAUAUUGCUGACGUUGAUAUUGAAUUAGCCCCUUGGCGAGAGAGAUUAGAGAGUGAGAGAAUAGAUUUGAUGCAAACGAGCUCUGAGGGGUCUGAAGAUGCGAUGUUUGAUAUGUUGGUGACUGAAUCAUAAGGAGGUUGAGGUCUGAAGAUCAAGAAGGCUGGACAUGACUUCUUUUGCCAUUACAGGAGUAAAAAAUAGCUUGAUUUGAAACUAAGGUCUAAGAGUGAUA